AUUGAACGCUGGCGGCAGGCCUAACACAUGCAAGUCGAACGAGUGGCGGACGGGUGAGUAAUGCAUGGGAAACUGCCUGAUGGAGGGGGAUAACUACUGGAAAUGGUAUCUAAUACCGCAUACCAUCAGAUGUGCCCAGAUGGGAAUGGCUUGUUGGUGGGGUAAAGGCUCACCAAGGCGACGAUCCCUAGCUGGUCCGAGAGGAGGAAGAGCCACACGGGACCUGAGACACGGUCCAGACUCCUACGGGGGGCAGAAGGGGGGAAUAUUGCACAAGGGGGGCAAGCCUGAUGCAGCCAUGCCGGGUGUAUGAAGAAGGCCUUCGGGUUGUAAAGUACUUUCAGCGGGGAGGCGUUACCCGAAGAAGAAGCACCGGCUAACUCCGUGCCAGCAGCCGCGGUAAUAC
rnacentral:rRNA from 1 species